rnacentral:misc_RNA from 1 species
GUCUUUGGCUGACACUGGUUUGUCCCCUUUUUCUGGAUUCCUUUUAAGUGGUUUUAGAUACCAUGUUAAUGCUUUCAGUUCUGGAAUUUCUGAUAUGAUAAGUAGUUUUAUAGGAUAGUACAUCUUUCAUUGCAUCAGGGAGUCUUCUUCUACUAACUUUUUGUGUAGCUAUUAGAGUUCUUAGUUCUGAUUAUUCCUGCUCCUGCAGCUUCUUUGCUUCUUGGUA